GCAGCCGUGGCUCAACUGGAUAGAGCACCGCCCUCCGAAGGCGGGGGUUGCGCGUUCGAAUCGCGCCGGCUGCACCA
rnacentral:tRNA from 1 species